rnacentral:rRNA from 1 species
UACGGAGGGUGCAAGCGUUAUCCGGAUUCACUGGGUUUAAAGGGUGCGUAGGAGGACUGGUAAGUCAGUGGUGAAAUCCCCGAGCUUAACUUGGGAACUGCCGUUGAUACUAUCAGUCUUGAAUACCGUGGAGGUGAGCGGAAUAUGUCAUGUAGCGGUGAGAUGCUUAGAUAUGACAUAGAACACCAAUUGCGAAGGCAGCUCGCUACACGAAUAUUGACUCUGAGGCACGAAAGCGUGGGGAUCAAACAGG